rnacentral:rRNA from 1 species
UACGGAGGGUGCGAGCGUUGUCCGGAAUCACUGGGCGUAAAGGGCGCGUAGGUGGCGCGGGAAGUCAACGGUGAAAGUUCGGGGCUCAACCCUGAAUCGGCCGUCGAUACUCCCGGGCUCGAGCACUGUAGAGGCAGAUGGAAUUCCGGGGUGUAGCGGUGGAAUGCGUAGAGAUCCGGAAGAACACCGGUGGCGGAAGGCGGUCUGCUGGGCAGUUGCUGACCACUGGAGGCGCGACAGCGUGGGGAGCAAACAGG